GUACUCACUUUGGCAGCACACAUACUAAAAUUGGAAUGGUACAGAGAUUAGCAUGGCGUCUGUGCAAGGAUGCCUCGCAAAUUCAUGAAGUGUUCAAUAUUUUC
ensembl:snRNA U6 U6 spliceosomal RNA